rnacentral:rRNA from 1 species
AGCGAGUCUGCCUUGAAGAUCGGAGUGCUUGCACUCUGUGAACAAGAUACAGGCUAGCGGCGACGGGUGAGUAACACGUGGGUAACCUGCCCAAGAGAUCGGGAUAACACCUGGAAACAGAUGCUAAUACCGGAUAACAACAGAUGAUGCCUAUCAACUGUUUAAAAGAUGGUUCUGCUAUCACUCUUGGGAUGGGACCUGCGGUGCAUUAGCUAGUUGGGUAGGGUAACGGCCUACCAAGGCGAUGAUGCAUAGCCGAGUUUGAGAGACUGAUCGGCCACAUUGGGACUGAGACACGGCCCAAACUCCUACGGGAGGCAGCAGUAGGGGAAUCUUCCACAAUGGACGCAAGUCUGAUGGAGCAACGCCGCGUGAGUGAAGAAGGGUUUCGGCUCGUAAAGCUCUGUUGUUGGUGAAGAAGGACAGGGGGUAGUAACUGUACCUUUGUUUGACGGUAAUCAAUUAGAAAAGUCACGGGCUAACUACGUGCCCAGCAGCCGCGGGUAAAU